rnacentral:tRNA from 1 species
GCCGCGGAGUCUAAACGCGGCAGGCUCGAGACCUGUUUCUCCUAACGGAGUGCUUGGGUUCGAAUCCCAACCUCGGCG